rnacentral:rRNA from 1 species
UCUGUAUUCCUUAGUACGGCGAGUGAACCGGGAAAAGCUCAAAUUUGAAAUCUGGCUGUCUUCGAUAGUCCGAGUUGUAAUCUAUAGAAGCGUUUUCCGUGCUGAACUGUGUAAAAGUCCCUUGGAACAGGGUAUCAAAGAGGGUGAUAAUCCCGUACUUGACACAAUCAUCAGUGCUCUGUGAUACGCUCUCUACGAGUCGAGUUGUUUGGGAAUGCAGCUCAAAAUGGGUGGUAAAUUCCAUCUAAGGCUAAAUAUUGGCGAGAGACCGAUAGCGAACAAGUACCGUGAGGGAAAGAUGAAAAGCACUUUGGAAAGAGAGUUAAACAGUACGUGAAAUUGUUAAAAGGGAAACGAUUGAAGUCAGUCGUGUUCAUUGGAUUCAGCUAGUUCUUCUAGUCUACUUCUUUUGAACGGGUCAACAUCAGUUUUGUCCGGUGGAUAAAGGUAUUAGGAAUGUGACUUCCUCGGAAGUGUUAUAGCCUAGUAUCACAUACACUGGGGGAGACUGAGGACUGCAGCUCGCCUUUUGGCCGGGGUUCGCCCACGUUCGAGCUUAGGAUGUUGACAUAAUGGCUUUAAACGACCCCGUCUUUGAAACACGG